rnacentral:rRNA from 1 species
UACGUAGGUGGCAAGCGUUAUCCGGAAUUAUUGGGCGUAAAGCGCGCGCAGGCGGUCCUUUAAGUCUGAUGUGAAAGCCCACGGCUCAACCCGUGGAGGGUCAUUGGGAAACUGGGGGACUUGAGUACAGAAGAGAAGAGUGGAAUUCCACGUGUAGCGGUGAAAUGCGUAGAGAUGUGGAGGAACACCAGUGGCGAAGGCGACUC